CUUGGGUAGUAAACAAUAUGUUGCUCCACUCUCGGAGAGCGAGGAAUGAAGAAUUCCUCAUCUUAUUGAUUCCUGCUUAAAAAUUUCUUAGUAAAUAUGGCCGAUGAAAAAACAUCAUUAUUUGGGGAAUCUCAAUACAACAGUUCAGCAUCAGAAGGCAA